GCUGGGCAUGGUGGCUCAUGCCUGUAAUCCCAGCACUUUGGGAGGCUGAGGCGGGUGUAUCAUUUGAGGUCAGGAGUUCAAAACCAACCUGGCCAAUAUAGUGAAACCCCGUCUCUA
ensembl:misc_RNA Metazoa_SRP Metazoan signal recognition particle RNA